CAAAGGCUUAAGGGCACAGAGCUCCUUGACAGUGCAAUUUGGGGCCAGAGGUCAGGGCAGUCCAGACUUCCCUCUAACCGGGCAAGGCUCAGGCCCAGCUGUGGAUGCUGCCAUACUUGCUGUCCCCUCCUACUUCCUCCAGGCACUGCCUGGCUUCUGGGGCAGAGUUCUGAGUGACAGCUCAUUAGCUGCAGAGAGCCCGUGGAAAUCUAAACUUUAGGACAAUCUGUCUGGCCUUGUUUGGGAGCCAGGCUGGUCAGCAAUGGCCAGAGAACAAAGGGCUCUACAGCUCUGGGAAGAAAACAGCAUGAAGCUUUAAUGGUGCACUGUAAAGAAAUUCAGCCCUAGACUCUGCAAGAGAAUGGAGAAAUGUGAACCCAAACCCAAAAAUGAAAGCCCGGAAGAAAGCCCCAAGCCCUCAUGGGAAUGGGUACAACCUGUGAGGCGCUGUCUCUCCUGUGAAGAAACAGGGUCACAAGAUUGUCAUAUUAUUUUUUACACUAAUAAUUUUAGAAUUAAAAUCAACUUUAUGUUCUGCUA